UUAAAGAACUGCUAGACUGCUUUUCAGAGCAGUGAAGUGCGUAUGUGCAGCAACCAAGACGUAGGUGCCAGGCUGCAGCCUUUCAUCAGGUCCUACUUUUCAUCCAGACCUUCCCCUUGAAGCUGAUCUCUGCAGCCCAAAGCCUCCAGGGUGGCUGGCUGCCCAGGUGUCCCAGAUGCUGGGGCUUCCAAACAGCUUCUCAUCAGACUCAGAAUUGAAUUCCAGCCUCUCCAGCCCUCCACGGCUCACCUGGACCCCCCAGCCCGGAGCCCCGGGCUCCCCUCUUCCUCUGUGCUCUCGACCUGCUGUUCCCUCUGCCGGACCACCCUUCUCCCAGACCACGGGUGGGAUGCUCUCUGUGCGGCCCCCCGAGAGAUGACACAUCCCCGGGGACCCUGUGCCCGCCAUCAUUGCGUCCCCGAAGCCCCCAGGGAGGCCUGCUUCGUGGACAGGGUCCUGGGUAACACACUGGAGGCUGGUAAGGGACACAGAUUUCAAGCCGGCGGCAUGCUGGGAGGUCUGUACCUGAAGCUGUCUGGAGCAGAGAAAUCAGUGCCUGCCUCGCUUACCUCUCUGGAGAAUUACAAGAAUAAAACGAAGCGGUGAACACGAGAGACAGUCGCUGUUACUAACGGUGAUGUCCUGUGGCCACUCCCCCUUGGAUCUGUUAGGCUAGCACCCCCUCCAGAAGCCUCUGGGACCCCAGCCUGGGUGAGGUGACCCCAGUGGCAGCUGAUGAGUGGUCAGUUGGCGUCUCUGGCUGAGCCGGUGACCGGGGCUGGCGGCUCCCUGCACCCUCGUCCCACACCUGGCGGGCUUCCUAGCGCUACGGCGGACGCAGUCAAUCCAUGGUGGCUGAACGGGUGAGCGCGUGUUGCUACUGAGUCCUUGCAGGGUAUAAUGCAACAAUCUCUUGUUUGCUUUUUAUGCGAGGAAAUGAGAGACUGAGAGGAACAGCAGAACCCAGGAGGCUCGGGCCGCUCCAGGCGUGUUUGCAUGCCAGACUUGCCCGCUGCGGCUGGAAGCGGC